UUUAAUUCACAUGCUUUUAUUCACAUAAUUUACAAAUAUGCAAUUAUUCUUAUUUUUAUUUUAUUUGAGUAGUUAUUUCACUUUGUUUGUUAAAUUUUGUAGAAUUUUAGUAAUAAGAGUAUUAGAUGAAAGAUCAUGGAAAAAUUCAAGGCAAAAACAAAACAAGUCAAGAAAAGCAAGGAAAGUCAUGUCUUGGGACCAACUUUCUUAGGGUGGAGUGAAAGCAACCUCAUAGAUACUUUUAGGACAUGUGUACUUGGAGUGGAGUGGAAGCUACAUCAAAGACACUUUUUGGUCCAUAUAUUGUGAUUGGUUGCAUGUCUUUGAAAAACAACAACAAUCAUUACCUUUUGUUUUAUUUGAAAAAGUGAAAUAAUGGGAUUUUUUGUUUAUUGUUAUAAAUAGAGACUUAGAGAUGUCACUUAGAGGCAUCACAUUCCAUUAUCACUUAGAAAAACCAAAAAAUAGUAACAAUGUAGAUGUGAAGCAAAAUUCCAUUUUCUUUUGUCAAGGUUGGAGAUUCUUGUGUUUGUGUGAAAAGGCUACCGAAGAACAAUAUCCAUUCAAGUCCGGAAUUGAAAGGAUGAUUCGGAAGCUCAAUAGCAUGACACUUUCCAAAUCGAUGUUGCCAAGAAGGAAAGCAUGGAGGUGUACCGUCGAGCUCUAACGACGUUAAACAAAGCGCUUGUUGGGAGGCAACCCAACGUUGUAAGUUUUUAUUUCAUAAGUAAAUUUUUUGUUUUUGUUAAUUGCAUUUUUUGUUUAAUUGUGUGUUUUAAAGGUGUGAAUUUUAUGCAAAUUGUGUUACCCCACUUUCCAAAAUUUUUGUUUAAUUGUUUCUAUUCAUUAAGAGAAGCUUCAAGGAACAAUGUGGCAAUUACAAGAGAGGAUUGCAAGACAAUUUGGUUGGUAAUGAUAAGAUUGGUACUCGGCACUUCAUGGUACAAUUUUACCGAUUUCUAGACUUAACAUGAAUAACUUGAUGGUUUGUGCAAAUUUCAUAUCAUUAAUUCUUUGAGAUACAUGUCAAUUUUGAAUCAAAAAUAGAACUUAACCAUGUGUGAAGUAGCUUUCCAUUGUACACUAAAUGCGGGAGACCGAACUUUAUUUUAACUCAUUCUUAUCAUGCUAAAUCAUACAUUGGUCCAUUUUUUUGUGAAAAUUAUGAAAGUGAUAGAGGCAUUGUUUGUUAUUGAGAAAAACCACAAAAAAUAAUAAUAAUAAAUUCAACUAACCUUGUGAGGAGUGAUCCUUAGUCAACCCCUUUGAGCUCAUUUUAGGAUUCAUUCAAAUGCAUCAAUUUAGUGAAUGAAUGAAUCUAAAUUUUUUGUUUCAUUUUGAACCUUCAACCAAUUUGGUUGUAAUUCUAUUUCUUUCCCUAUAGGGAGCAUUAUUGCAAUUUGAGUUGGUUUGAAAACCAAAGUUGGGGAGAAAAUAAGUGUUGGUAAAAAUAAAAUAAAAAAUAAAAAAAAAGAAAAAGAAAGAAAAAAAAAUAAUUUGGAUCAAGAAGAAAGUAUUAUUGAGUUUGAUUUGAUAAAAAUGCUCCCUUAGGAUUUUUGUUUAAUUUUCCUUGAUAUUACCCUUUCUUUGUAACCCAAGCCACAUUACAACCCAUAAAAGACCUCUUGAUUCUCACUUUUCACAUGAUUUGGUAUUUGUUUUGAUAAUUGCAUGAUUUGAGUGUUGUUGAUUUAAUUGUUCGGAUGAGUGAAAGAAAACCUCAUAUUUAUUCAUCAUUAUCAUGAUGUGUGUAGGUUUGAUUCAAUUUUGACAUGUAUUACUUGGAAUUUCUUGAUAUGUACUUUGCACCCAACCAUUGUUUUGUUCAUGUUUUGUCCUAGUAUUGAGGUAAGUGAAUCGCGAAGAGCCAUGUACUUUUGAACCAACUGAUUGUUUUGAUGAAUUCUUAAUCAUUCUCUUGUUAUGUCACUUUGGUUUCGUUGGUGGAAAACUUUUGUUUAGGGACAAACAAAAUGGUAAGUUGGGGAGAGUUGUUAGGGACCAAAUAGUAUUAAUUUUUAUACUAUUUUUAUUGGUCUCUUUAACCAAAUUUUAUUUAAUUCACAUGCUUUUAUUCACAUAAUUUACAAAUAUGCAAUUAUUCUUAUUUUUAUUUUAUUUGAGUAGUUAUUUCACUUUGUUUGUUAAAUUUUGUAGAAUUUUAGUAAUAAGAGUAUUAGAUGAAAGAUCAUGGAAAAAUUCAAGGCAAAAACAAAACAAGUCAAGAAAAGCAAGGAAAGUCAUGUCUUGGGACCAACUUUCUUAGGGUGGAGUGAAAGCAACCUCAUAGAUACUUUUAGGACAUGUGUACUUGGAGUGGAGUGGAAGCUACAUCAAAGACACUUUUUGGUCCAUAUAUUGUGAUUGGUUGCAUGUCUUUGAAAAACAACAACAAUCAUUACCUUUUGUUUUAUUUGAAAAAGUGAAAUAAUGGGAUUUUUUGUUUAUUGUUAUAAAUAGAGACUUAGAGAUGUCACUUAGAGGCAUCACAUUCCAUUAUCACUUAGAAAAACCAAAAAAUAGUAACAAUGUAGAUGUGAAGCAAAAUUCCAUUUUCUUUUGUCAAGGUUGGAGGUAGCUAUUCCUCACUUUUCUCAUGUAUUCAUCUUAAACUCAUUGUAUGUGAACAAGAUUAUUAUGUUGAAUGUAAAAAUAACUUCUUUGUGUC